rnacentral:rRNA from 1 species
GACGAACGCUGGCGGCGUGCUUAACACAUGCAAGUCGAACGGAAAGGCCCUGAUUUUGUGGGGUGCUCGAGUGGCGAACGGGUGAGUAACACGUGAGUAACCUGCCCUUGUCUUUGGGAUAACUUCAGGAAACUGGGGCUACUACCGGAUAGGAGCCGCUGCUGCAUGGUGGGGGUUGGAACGUUUCGGCGGUUGGGGAUGGACUCGCGGCUUAUCAGCUUGUUGGUGGGGUAGUGGCUUACCCAGGCUUUGACGGGUAGCCGGCCUGAGAGGGUGACCGGCCACAAUGGGACUGAGAGACGGCCCAGACUCCUACGGGAGGCAGCAGUGGGGAAUAUUGCACAGUGGGCGGAAGCCUGAUGCAGCAACGCCGCGUGCGGGAUGACGGCCUUCGGGGUGUAAACCGCUUUCGCCUGUGACGAAGCGUGAGUGACGGUAAUGGGUAAAGAAGCACCGGCUAACUACGUG